AGCCACCGGUUCCUUUCUCACAGAAGCUCCCUAACGUGGAUCUUGGGGCUCUUCGCCUACUUGAGCGCUUACUUGCAUUUGAUCCAAAAGAUCGUCCCACAGCUGAAGAAGCAUUAGCUGAUCCAUACUUUUAUGGUUUAGCAAAUGUGGAUCGUGGACCAUCCACUUAACCUAUUUCGAAAUUAGAAUUUGAGUUUGAGAGAAGGAAAUUGGCAACAGAUGAUGUUAGAGAGCUGAUUUAUAGAGAGAUAUUAGAGUAUCAUCCCCAGAUGCUGCAGGAGUACCUCCGCGGUGGGGAUCAUACCAACUUCAUGUACCUUUCAAG